AUUGCCCUCGAAUAAUUGAUUGGAAAUUCACAUUCUCAUUCGGUUCAGACAGGGGCAUAUACAAAUCUAAAUCCUUAUAUAUAUAUAUAUAUAUAUAUAUAUAUAUAUAU